UACAGAGGGGGCAAGCGUUGUUCGGAAUUACUGGGCGUAAAGGGCGCGUAGGCGGCCCGCUAAGUCGAACGUGAAAUCCCCGAGCUCAACUCGGAACUGCGUCCGAUACUGGCGGGCUUGAAUCCGGAGAGGGAUGCGGAAUUCCAGGUGUAGCGGUGAAAUGACGUAGAUAUCUGGAGGAACACCGGUGGCGAAGGCGGCAUCCUGGACCGGUAUUGACGCUGAGGCGCGAAAGCUA
rnacentral:rRNA from 1 species